GCGGGCGUAGUUCAGCGGUAGAAUGUCUCCUUCCCAAGGAGAAGGUCACCGGUUCAAAUCCGGCCGCCCGCUCAA
rnacentral:tRNA from 1 species